rnacentral:rRNA from 1 species
GAUGAACGCUGGCGGCGUGCCUAACACAUGCAAGUCGAACGGAGCUGCUUUGAUGAAGUUUUCGGAUGGAUUUAAAACAGCUUAGUGGCGGACGGGUGAGUAACGCGUGGGUAACCUGCCUCACACUGGGGGAUAACAGUUGGAAACGACUGCUAAUACCGCAUAAGCCCACGGCUCGGCAUCGAGCAGAGGGAAAAGGAGUAAUCCGCUUUGAGAUGGCCUCGCGUCCGAUUAGCUAGUUGGUGAGGUAACGGCCCACCAAGGCGACGAUCGGUAGCCGGACUGAGAGGUUGAACGGCCACAUUGGGACUGAGACACGGCCCAGACUCCUACGGGAGGCAGCAGUGGGGGAAUAUUGCACAAUGGGGGAAACCCUGAUGCAGCGACGCCGCGUGGAGGAAGAAGGUCUUCGGAUUGUAAACUCCUGUUGUUGGGAAGAUAAUGACGGUACCCAACAAGGAAGUGACGGCUAACUACGUG